AUCCAAGAAGCUGCGUGACUGCUCAGACCUAACACACUAUGUGACACUCACACCUUGUGAUUUGACUGUCCUGAAGCAACAUGUGGAAGAGCCCUCCUCUCCAAGUCUAACAGAUACAUUGUCUGUCUCAACCACCAGCAGUCAGAGCAGUGACACAAGUGAUGCCGGACUUCAAAUGGUUCAGCCUCUAUUGGACAGCAUACAUGAAAGAAAUGUAGAUACAGUACUUAAUUGACUUAUACUUGACUCUUUAGUUGCCAUUACUUGAAAAAGCUUAAACACGAAGAUAAAACAGAUUAGAGAAAAAUAAUUUAAUAUAGUAUUUCAUGUAGUUUGCUCUGCAACUGUAGUGUGUAAUAAGACUUGCUCUCUCUCUCUCGCUCUCUCUCUGUUUUUGUUAUGCAUGUUAACCAUGAAACGUGUUUCCAUGAUCAGUGUCCUGCUUUUCAGGUAAAUGAAACCAUUUUUAAGAAGAUACUGGUCCUAGAAAGGGAGAAAGUAAGACAUUUCAAAUGUUUUGAUGCCCAAAUGUCAUAUGGGUGUGAUUCACAAUUUUAUGUUCUGUGAGAGAGUUGCAUUACUUAAUUUGUUGGCUUGAUGGAGACUUUACAGAGUCUUCCUCACGUUAACACUGCAUUACAAGAAGUGCUUAUUCUGUAGUCAUUUUUUUCCUUUAAUUCUGUUUUUUUUUUUUCUUUUCGCCCAAUGUUAGGCCUUUCUGACCUCAACUGUUUAGCUGCCAAUAAUGGUGGAUAUUAUGCUAUUACAGUACUGUUACACAGAAUGUAUGUUAAUCCAUGCAGCAUUCAUAUUUGAAUAUGUUAUUUUUGAUAAAUAAAAUCCAUACAUUCAUAAUAA